rnacentral:rRNA from 1 species
UACAGAGGGUGCGAGCGUUGUCCGGAAUCACUGGGCGUAAAGGGCUCGUAGGCGGCCAACUAAGUCAGACGUGAAAUCCCUCAGCUUAACUGGGGAACUGCGUCUGAUACUGGAUGGCUUGGAUUCGGGAGAGGAAUGCGGAAUUCCAGGUGUAGCGGUGAAAUGCGUAGAUAUCUGGAGGAACACCGGUGGCGAAGGCGGCAUUCUGGACCGACAUUGACGCUGAGGAGCGAAAGCCAGGGGAGCAAACGGG